AUUGAACGCUGGCGGCAGGCCUAACACAUGCAAGUCGAGCGGAUGAGGGGUGCUUGCACUCUGAUUCAGCGGCGGACGGGUGAGUAAUGCCUAGGAAUCUGCCCGAUAGUGGGGGACAACGUUUCGAAAGGAACGCUAAUACCGCAUACGUCCUACGGGAGAAAGUGGGGGAUCUUCGGACCUCACGCUAUCGGAUGAGCCUAGGUCGGAUUAGCUAGUUGGUGAGGUAAUGGCUCACCAAGGCGACGAUCCGUAACUGGUCUGAGAGGAUGAUCAGUCACACUGGAACUGAGACACGGUCCAGACUCCUACGGGAGGCAGCAGUGGGGAAUAUUGGACAAUGGGCGAAAGCCUGAUCCAGCCAUGCCGCGUGUGUGAAGAAGGUCUUCGGAUUGUAAAGCACUUUAAGUUGGGAGGAAGGGCUGUCGGCUAAUACCCUGCAGUUUUGACGUUACCAACAGAAUAAGCACCGGCUAACUUCGUGCCAGCAGCCGCGGUAAUACGAAGGGUGCAAGCGUUAAUCGGAAUUACUGGGCGUAAAGCGCGCGUAGGUGGUUCAGCAAGUUGGAUGUGAAAGCCCCGGGCUCAACCUGGGAACUGCAUCCAAAACUACUGAGCUAGAGUACGGUAGAGGGUGGUGGAAUUUCCUGUGUAGCGGUGAAAUGCGUAGAUAUAGGAAGGAACACCAGUGGCGAAGGCGACCACCUGGACUGAUACUGACACUGAGGUGCGAAAGCGUGGGGAGCAAACAGGAUUAGAUACCCUGGUAGUCCACGCCGUAAACGAUGUCAACUAGCUGUUGGGUUCCUUGAGAACUUAGUAGCGAAGCUAACGCGAUAAGUUGACCGCCUGGGGAGUACGGCCGCAAGGUUAA
rnacentral:rRNA from 1 species